rnacentral:rRNA from 1 species
AUUGAACGCUGGCGGCAGGCCUAACACAUGCAAGUCGAGCGGAUGAGAAGAGCUUGCUCUUCGAUUCAGCGGCGGACGGGUGAGUAAUGCCUAGGAAUCUGCCUGGUAGUGGGGGACAACGUUUCGAAAGGAACGCUAAUACCGCAUACGUCCUACGGGAGAAAGCAGGGGACCUUCGGGCCUUGCGCUAUCAGAUGAGCCUAGGUCGGAUUAGCUAGUUGGUGAGGUAAUGGCUCACCAAGGCGACGAUCCGUAACUGGUCUGAGAGGAUGAUCAGUCACACUGGAACUGAGACACGGUCCAGACUCCUACGGGAGGCAGCAGUGGGGAAUAUUGGACAAUGGGCGAAAGCCUGAUCCAGCCAUGCCGCGUGUGUGAAGAAGGUCUUCGGAUUGUAAAGCACUUUAAGUUGGGAGGAAGGGCAGUAAGUUAAUACCUUGCUGUUUUGACGUUAUCGACAGAAUAAGCACCGGCUAACUCUGUGCCAGCCGCCGCGGUAAAAC